rnacentral:misc_RNA from 1 species
GAUGAAGAACGUAGCGAAAUGCGAUAAGUAGUGUGAAUUGCAGAAUUCAGUGAAUCAUCGAAUCUUUGAACGCACAUUGCGCGCCUUGGUAUCCCGAGGGGCAUGCCUGUUCGAGCGUCAUUUCACCACUCAAGCCUGGCUUGGUGUUGGGCGACGUCCCCUUUGGGGACGCGCCUCGAAACGCUCGGCGGCGUGGCACCGGCUUUAAGCGUAGCAGAAUCUUUCGCUUUGGAAGUCGGGGCCCCGUCUGCCGGAAGACCUACUCGCAAGGUUGACCUCGGAUCAGGCAGGGAUACCCGCUGAACUUAAGCAUAUCAAUAAGCGGAGGA